GAGACUCUGUGCGCGUGCAUAUCAAUAAGCGGAGGAAAAGAAACUAACAAGGAUUCCCUUAGUAACGGCGAGUGAAGCGGGAAGAGCUCAAAUUUGAAAUCUUCAAGGUUCUACCUUGACGAAUUGUAGUUUAUAGAAGUGUUUUCUGUUAGUAGAGUGGCAAAAGUUCUUUGGAAUAGGACAUCAUAGAGGGUGAGAAUCCCGUAUUUGGUCAUUCUUUCUAGCUUUGUGAUACACUUUCAACGAGUCGGAUUGUUUGGGAAUGCAGUCCAAAAUGGGUGGUAAAUUUCAUCUAAAGCUAAAUAUUGGCGAGAGACCGAUAGCGAACAAGUACCGUGAGGGAAAGAUGAAAAGAACUUUGAAAAGAGAGUUAAACAGUACGUGAAAUUGUCAAAAGGGAAGCGUUUGACACCAGUGUUGUUUUUCCAAAAAUCAAUUACGAAUGUUUUGUUUUUAAGAAGUUAUGACUUCAUCGGCUUGCUUCUUUCUUUACGAAACUUUCUUAAUGCACUUUUCGGUUAACAAGUCAACAUCAAUUUCUUUUGUUGUAAAAGGGUAUGAGGAAGGUGGCUUUCUUUUCGGAGAAAGUGUUUAUAGCCUUGUGCCUCUGCAAUCGGAGAGAUUGAGGUCUGCAGCGUAGAUCCUUCGGGGUUAGAUACGUUUGUGCUAAGUUAUAGCUUUUCAUAGACAACUUGUUGACUAUGUUUAGUCUUGUAGCUUACUCGCUUACUGCUAUUUUACCUACGCUUAGGAUGUUGAAGAUGUAGCACAUCAU
rnacentral:rRNA from 1 species